GUCCGAGUGGCGGAAUAGGCAGACGCGCUAGGUUGAGGGCCUAGUGACCGCAUAGGUCAUGGGGGUUCAAGUCCCCCCUCGGACACCA
rnacentral:tRNA from 1 species